AAUGUUGAUUCAUCUAAUGCUAUUGUUUGCUUCUCCCAUUGUAGCACACGACUUUGAUGUGACAAAAUAUGGUGCCAAGUGUGAUGAAAAAUCAGAUAUUUCUCAACCAUUGAGGAAAGCUUGGGCUGAUGCUUGUUCAACACCAGGUGCAGCCAAAGUUAUCAUACCAAAGGGUACAUAUUCUUUACUUGAAGUAGAUCUAGUAGGUCCUUGUAAAGGUUCAAUGACAUUGCAAAUUGAAGGAA